rnacentral:rRNA from 1 species
AGAGUUUGAUCCUGGCUCAGGAUGAACGCUAGCGGCAGGCCUAAUACAUGCAAGUCAAGGGGUAGCAAUACACCGGCGGACGGGUGCGUAACGCGUACAGAACAUACCCUUAAGCGGGGGAUAGCAUUGGGAAACUGGUGGUAAUACCCCAUAACAUUGAGAUUUGGCAUCAAAUUUCAAUUAAAGUUCCGGCGCUUAAGGAUUGCUGUGCGUCCGAUUAGCUAGUUGGUGGGGUAACGGCCCACCAAGGCGACGAUCGGUAGGGGGUGUGAGAGCAUGACCCCCCACACGGGUACUGAGACACGGACCCGACUCCUACGGGAGGCAGCAGUAAGGAAUAUUGGACAAUGGAGGCAACUCUGAUCCAGCCAUGCCGCGUGAAGGAUGAAGGCGCUCAGCGUUGUAAACUUCUUUUGGAUAGGAACAAAACACCCGAUGCGUCGGGUACUGAGGGUACUAUCAGAAUAAGCACCGGCUAACUCCGUGCCAGCAGCCGCGGUAAUACGGAGGGUGCAAGCGUUAUCCGGAAUCACUGGGUUUAAAGGGUGCGUAGGCGGCUCGAUAAGUCAGUCGUGAAAUUCCCCGG